ensembl:lncRNA
GAGAUUUCCGCGGAGUGAUCCUUCUUCCUCCAUCAGGAUCUCCACAGCCUUCACUCCGCCGACACGUCGAUCGGGAUUCUCUGCCUGGAAACAUCGCAAACUAAUCGGAACCGGCGGCCGACACAGACGGAGCGGUCUCGCGGGCUUCGUGGGGGUCGAUUAGAAACGUCCCAGCUGUCCCCGAGCUGGUGCUCAUGCGUCUGAGUCUGGAGCGUCUGGAGCCGCAGGCCGACCAAUCAGAAGCUGAACGAUUAGUUCAGUUGUUUUUCUCUAAGGUUGAAUCAUAUUUAACAUCAGCACUUCUUAACGGUAGGACUCGGUCACACAGACCGGUCUGCAAACAUCUGGCAGCCGCCGGCCGUUGCAGCGGUUGCCCAUAGUUUAUUUGGGUGACACCAACCAAAGCAAGCGGGUGGAGGUUAUUGGUACAGCACCAUCCUCCAGCAGCUUCCAGCAACCGUCACCAACCAGGGCACAAACAUCCCAGCGCUGCUGUGGCUCCACAGGACGUCAGCAGCAGGUGUAGAUGCUGCUUCCUGUUACC